rnacentral:lncRNA from 1 species
UGGUGAUCUUGGGCGUGGUGGUUGGUAAGCUAUGGGGGUCUGUAGGAUCAUGGCAGGGUUCCAUCACAGUCCUAAAAUGGUAGUGCUGUGCAUUGGUGUCUUCUAAAUAAGAUGAGUGUCUUUUCUGGUGGUCAUAUAACCCCAUCAUGAUUAGCUACAAAAAAAAAGGCAAGCGGAGUAGAUUGGAAAGAAGAACUGAAGAGUUUUUCAUGCUUGCAUGCUUUCUGUCGUCUUUAAAAUGAGUACCUCUAUGUGCUUGAGCAGAGAUGUUGAAGUUGCAGUGAAGUCACCUUCAAUUUCUGGAAAAAUAUUAGAAGAGUUUAAGCACUAAGAAGAAAGCAUUUGUACUGUUUAUAUGGAAUCAUGAAAUAGCUGUGUCCAAGGCAUGCUACAACUGAUCCUGCUAAUAAAUAUUGUGUUGAGGGGGUGGAAAAGAAAACAAGCCCAAACUUCUGGUGACAUGCCAAAUGAUGGGAUGUGCUGCCUAUGCCCCAGAUGAUGGUGCUCCCCUUCAUACAUGGGUUCCGGUGAAGGAGCUCUUCUGGUUCCGUGAGACUAAUGUGGCUAAUAGUGUCCUAAUGGCCAUAUGCUCAACCGAGAUUGGAUGCAAUACCUAA